rnacentral:tRNA from 1 species
AGGUAGCUUAGGUUUAAGCAUUAGACUUUUAAUCUAAGGACGGUAAUAAAUACAGGAAUUACCCUU